AACGAACGCUGGCGGCAGGCUUAACACAUGCAAGUCGAGCGCACCGCAAGGGGAUCGGCAGACGGGUGAGUAACGGGUGGGAACGUACCCAUUGGUGUGGAACAACUCCGGGAAACUGGAGCUAAUACCGGAUAAGGCCUAACGGGGGAAGAGUUAUCGCCCAAAGAUCGGCGCGCUUCAGAUUUGCUAGGUGGUGAGGUCACGGCACAGCAUAGCGACGUGGAGUAGCUGGUGUGAGAUGAUGAUCCUCCACACUGGGACUGAGACACGGCCCAGACCCUGACGCAAGGCAGGAGUGGAUAAUACUGGACACUGGGGGCAAGUGUGAUCCCGCCAUGCCGCGUGAGUGAUGCAUGCCGUAGUGUUGUAAAGCUGUUUUGUCCGGGAAGAGAAUGACGGUACCGGAUGAAUAAGCCCCGGCUAACUACGUG
rnacentral:rRNA from 1 species